CAGAGGGGAGGAGGGCACACAGUCCUACCCACAGUUGAGGAGCUAUUGGCAGUUGUUAGCUACUGGGAGAGGGAUAGUUCGUUUUCUUUAAGAGUGUAGUGUGGAAUAGAAGCUCUGACUGAGACAUAAGGGUUCCCCUCCCCACAGUCAUGCCAACAUUUGCUGUUCUUUGUUAUUGAUGGCGUCCAGAGGAAGUCAUGGAUCAGCAUGAAGAUCUGGAGAACAAGAAAGACCUUAAUCUUGAACUGUCAAGAAUAACAGAGAUCAAGAGGCAUGGGGAGGUGAAUGCUUGAAUGAGUAAUCUUUCAAUUCUUGAAAGAGAAUGUGAACGCCAGAGUGACAGACAAGCUGAGCAGGAGGAGUGAGAAUCGAAGACUCUGAGAGGCCACACUGCCUUUCAUGCAUGCUGAUUUGUUGUGAUUCAGCACACAGGCAACGGCUUGCUACUGUCUAAUGACUGCAGAAGACGUAGAGGAUGCUAGAAAAAACACCCAGGCUCCACAUCUCUUGCUGUUGGACAGUGGGAGCCAGCUGCUUCCAGCAAGCACUAAGUUCAUCAGAAAGCUGGCAUAGUGGCUCUGGAUACAUCACCAGUGUGAGAUACUGUGUAUCUGUGUCUUUUGUGAUGCUGUUUUCCAACAGAGAGACAAGCAGAGGAGUGAGCACAGCUGAGGAGUAGCUUUCAGUUCUUGGUUGGAUCUUCUUGGGUGGUCUUCACACUGGCUUGUUCUAGAAAUUCCCAGAUUUGCCAGCAUCCCUAUGCACCCACAUUCUUGUGUUUUUAUUUGUGAUGAUGAUCUGGAUUCUGGGUUAGUAGUGGUUACUUUGUUCUGAUUCUGCAACAAAUACAGGGCAAAGACAUUGA